GGAGGACUGUCGGCACUCGUGUGGUUUAUCCCGCUUCCUCACGGCAAAGUGGCUAGUCACCAGCCCUGGGGAAAGUAGCAGCUGGUCUCUAACCCAUCCACCCCCCAGGCAGGCCAGCUUGCCUGGAUUGAAACUAACACCCCACUCGGAGACCAGAAGCCCGUUCAUCCCUUUGAAAUGACUUGCUGUUGCAACAAAAACGUUUGAUCCUAGUUGGAGGAGGGCGUCUUUCAGACAGGCCAGUCUGACCUUGUGGAAUACCCCAGCCUGCUUUCCCAAUUCAGCACAUUCUGGACAUUGCUGUCUGCAGAGGAUGGGCCAGAUGUUUGCUCAAGACCACACGAGGUUCUGCUUAUCAAAACCCUCUGAAACAUCCUCAAGGCCCCCAGGGGGCCUCGGACCUCUGGUUGAGAACCACUGAUGUAAACGAG